UUUCUAUGAAGAUAACCUUGUCCAGUUCUGCUACUGAAUGACGGUGAUGAUAAUAACGACUCUGAGAAA